CCCGACGUCGGCCGUGGCGUCCCCGCGGCUACGCACCUGGAGGCGGCCGCCCGCGCGCGGGGCCCUUCGGGGAGCCGCCUCGAUGAGCGCGGCGCAGCCCGGCGUGACCUUCGAGGACGUGUUCGUGGCCUUCUCGCGCAAGGAGUGGGAGCUGCUGGAGGAGGCGCAGCGGCACCUGUACCGGGACGUGAUGAUGGAGAACUUCGCCCUCAUCUCCUCGCUGGGACUGGCAGUUUCCCAAUCGCAAAGAAUCGGCCGGAUGUAUCCUGAGGGGAACGAAUCGCACCAGAGAAGGUAGAGGCAGCUGAGCCCCGGGGAAGCCUGGCUCUGGUGAGUGCUUUUUGCUGAGGGGUUGUCCUGUCAGGGCUGUCUAGAACCAGCAGGCUUCGGGUGCGCUCUGAUCCCUUUUAUGAGGGCAAUGAGGACACCUGAGUGAUCAGGGAGCCUUGGCUCCCCUAGGAGUCGGGCCCAGUGC